CGUGGGCAACCUGCCUUUAGGUCUGGGAUAAGCCGCCGAAAGGGGGUCUAAUACCGGAUAACACCUUUCUAUCGCAUGGUAGAAAGUUCAAAGACCGCUUGCGGUCGCCUGAAGAUGGGCCCGCGGCCUAUUAGCUAGUUGGUGAGAUAACAGCCCACCAAGGCUGCGAUGGGUAGCCGUCCUGAGAGGGUGAACGGCCACACUGGGACUGAGAUACGGCCCAGACUCCUACGGGAGGCAGCAGUAGGGAAUAUUGCGCAAUGCCCGAAAGGGUGACGCAGCGACGCCGCGUGGGUGAUGAAGCUUCUUGGAGCGUAAAGCCCUUUCAGAAGGGAAGAACCGCAUGGAGGUGAACCUCCGUGCCUGACGGUACCUUCAGAAGAAGCUCCGGCUAACUCCGUGCCAGCAGCCGCGGUAAUACGGAGGGAGCAAGCGUUGUUCGGAAUCACUGGGCGUAAAGGGCGCGUAGGCGGGCCGGUGAGUCAGGUGUGAAAACCCGGGGCUUAACCCCGGGCCUGCACUUGAUACUAUCGGUCUUGAGUACGAGAGAGGAAAGCGGAAUUCCAGGUGUAGCGGUGAAAUGCGUAGAUAUCUGGGAGAACACCGGUGGCGAAGGCGGCUUUCUGGCUCGAUACUGACGCUGAUGCGCGAAGGCUAGGGGAGCAAACAGGAUUAGAUACCCUGGUAGUCCUAGCGGUAAACGAUGGGCACUAGGUGUUGGAGGACUUACCCCUUCAGUGCCGCAGCUAACGCAUUAAGUGCUCCGCCUGGGGAGUACGAUCGCAAGAUUGAAACUCAAAGGAAUUGACGGGGCCCCGCACAAGCAGUGGAGUAUGUGGUUUAAUUCGAUGCAACGCGAAGAACCUUACCUGGGCUUGACAUCAACUGGAAAGCCAUAGAGAUAUGGCCCCCUCUUCGGAGGUCGGUUGACAGGUGCUGCAUGGCUGUCGUCAGCUCGUGCCGUGAGGUGUUGGGUUAAGUCCCGCAACGAGCGCAACCCCUGUCCAUAGUUACCAGCGGUUCGGCCGGGCACUCUAUGGAGACUGCCUCGGUUAACGAGGAGGAAGGUGGGGAUGACGUCAAGUCCUCAUGGCCCUUACGUCCAGGGCUACACACGUACUACAAUGGCCGGUACAGAGGGUUGCAAUUCCGCGAGGUGGAGCCAAUCCCUAAAGCCGGUCCCAGUUCGGAUUGGAG
rnacentral:rRNA from 1 species